ensembl:lncRNA
UUUUAAGUUUAUCCCCUGCCACAUGAGGCAUCACAUAAGAGAGAGGUUCUCUUGCUCUUGCUAUUCAGAAUCAUGAUUCUGAGCAGCUCACAUCUCUGUUCUUGGCCUUGCCCUCCAUUAUGCCUGUUAAUUCUCUUUUCUCCUGAAUUCUGGUUUUGAAGUUCAUGCUGUCUUUGUUGGCCUUGCCCUUUCCCCAAGGCUUUAUGCUUAGUACUGACUCUGUGGCUAUGACCUUGAACUCUCCAUGGUGUCUCUGUGCCGUCCAGCCAGGAUGUUUCAGUCUGCUCAAGGUAGACCCUUCUCUCAGCUCAGUCCGAUUCCUGCAUCUUCUGUCUCAUUUUCCUUUCGAGACAUGCCAUCUGGGUAGCCCUCAGUACCUGACCUGAAUAUUAAGAACAUAUUUUGGAAACAGUCUUCGUGGGAAUCUCUUUGAGUAAGAGUCAAAGAGAUUUGAUACAGAAGGGAGGUCUGUGGCAAUUUCCAGGAAGAACUGUGGAAUCAAACACCAGUCCCAAGGUUGUGGGUGUGUUGGAUUUGUCCUAAAUAGCACUUGGGGCUUCUCUGAUGAACCAUCACUUUCUUGGAAAGGCUUGCAUUUACACUGGCUUUUUUCUGCUGCCUUUGACUCAUGCUGUAAUUGAAGAGAAAUCACAUAGAGCUGUGCUGUGUCAACAUCAGACAAAGGGAUGUCGGUAGAGACAAAAUGAUGGAUGGAAAUGUUACCACCAUCAUUUGGAGACCCUUGGUGUUGACUUAGGAUAAUGAUAUCAGGCAAGGAUUUCUUUUUUCCUUAAAGUAUGUAAGAAUGUGUCUCAAAGGCCUUCAAACCUCCUUGUUGAAAUAUGACAUACAGAAAGUACACAUAAGUGUAUAAUUCUAUAUAUUUUUACAAAUUGAACAUACCCACUUAAUCAGUCAAGAUGCAAAGGAGUCCCAGCUCCCCAGAAAACCCCCUCAUUGGCCCUUCCAGCCAUUACCUUUAUCCCCAGGGCAACUGCUAUCCCACUUUCCAGCAGCAGAGAUGACUUUUCUCUGUGUUAGUGCUUUAUCUUAGUAGCACCAUGUGUACCAUGUGUCAUAGAGCCAUAGAGAGGCACCUUCAUCUCUGUCUUCUUUCACUCAGCAUUAUGCAUGUGGAGGUGGGGGGGGUCCAUCUGUGACAUUGAGAGUAAUUGUGAGUGACUCCGUUUCUAAACCCCUUGAGCAGUGAGAUUUUUAAAACUAUGAGAAAAAAUUCCUUCAUUUUUAUUGGUUGUGGACACCCAGUGGAUAACAUUCUCUACUGCAAAUAGACACUUUAGUAUCUGAAAGCUACUCUUUUCUUGACUGUACAGACCCUAUUGUUAGGGAUCAUCAGGACAGACCCUUGGGUGUUCUCAACCAUUGUAUGCUGGUUAAAGUAGCAGGGAUCAGCCGUAACACAAACACAAACACGACCCCUGCUCCUCCAGGAUGAGUCUUAUGCAAGGCACUAAUUUACACUCAGGAGGGAGAGGACGAGGGCAGGGCUCUCGGUCUUGGCCUCCAUGUACCUCCAUUUGGAUGGAAACCACAAAAGCACCUGUUCAGUGCUCUGUGGUUUCACUUAUAGGACCUCAUUCAUUCCUCUCAUUCAUUCCUUUCCCCUUAAGAAAGCCCUUGGUCAUCCAGUGGGACGGAUGAAGGAACUGAGGCUCUGAGAGGUGAAGUGGCUUGUCCAGAUGGCACAAAAAGUGCUAGGAUUUAACUCUUCCCACUUCUUCACCUUAUCUCUCUGUGGUUGAUACCUCUGAGCACCCUAUGGAACAGAGAGCUGAUAAAAUGCAGGAACUCUAAAUAGGAAGCUUGAGUUUUCUGAAAUAAUUGGCUGGUAAAGUCCAGGGAAGGGGCAGCCCGGUAUCCCCAAGCUCAGGGAAAGCCUCACAAGUCCUACCCAUGAGCUUCCCAGCAGCUCCUGAGUAGGUGAAAACUUUCCCUCACAGGGCUUGCCAUUUCUACUCUGCUGGCAGGUAUGCAAGUGGCCAGAAGGACAGGCAAAGGCUGGCCUGGGAGGUGAGCAAUGCAACAAGGCAGCAGCAGGGCCAAAUUUUCUGAUGAUUGGGAACCAGACAAGGGCAGAGUGAGAAAGAGGAGGUAGUUCUUCCUUGGUUCCAAUCAGCGCCCAUUAGGGAAGGGCAGGGGGCCAGCUAUCCAAACCCCAAGACCUAAUGAUUUUUCCUUGUAAUAAUUUCUCCAACUGUGUCUUCUGAUCUUGAAUUUCAACUUAGUCUUUUUGGCCUUGACUAUUGGAAGGGCCUCCCAGCGGGAGUCUUCUGCUUCUGACCUCCUUCCUCCAGCCGCCCUGCCCCUCGUUGCCGUGGUGAAAGUCAAACAUCCCCGCUCUCCUCCAGGGCGCCCUGUGAUCCAUCCCUCAGUCCACGUCUUUAGUCUGGCACGCGCGGCGGCCUCCACGACCACCUCUGUAACCUUCCAUUUGCUCAAACCAGCCCCCCCCCGUGUUCCCAUCAUGCUGAACUACAUUCCAUUUCCCCAAAGCGCUGUGCCCUUUCACGCUUCGACACUCUGCAGCAGGCAGGAUCCGCCUGCCCCUCCCUGUGUCUCUGCUGGAUAACAGAUUUCCUCUUCAAAGACUCAGCUCAGUGGCCCUUCCUCCGGGAGACAUUUCCCUCUUCCCAUUGCAGCUGACCCCCCCUCCCCCAGGCCCCACCAUCCCCGUGCUUCCUAAGGUCCAGUUCCUGUGUGCUGGGAGUGCCCCUACAUUGUUAGUUCUCUCUCAACCUUCCAUGCUCCCAGCAGGGUUAUGAGCCACUGUUGAUAAAUGCUUUUUUGACUUAAAUGGCACGAAGACCCAUUGUGCUGGUGUGAGGCAGGCAGAGGACAUGCAAGGUGCCUUGUAGGGGAAGAACUCAGGCCAACUGAACCAUGGUGCUUGAAGCACAGUGGCCUGCAGACCCUCUGGGCAGAGACCAUGAGUCCUGGAGGUCUCCCCAUGCCAGGCGCCAGAGCCUGCCUUUUGAGGCACGUGUGAGCUCUGCACACUCCGAGGAGAAUUCUCUCUACCCCUGGGGUUAAUGGAUCUAUUCCCUGGAAGUGGAGCCUGGUGUCCAAUAUGCAUUAAGGGGAGAAAGAGACCAAGGGGAGGGAGGAGAAGGAUGUGCCACUGGAGUUGGUUAAACAGCCAACAGCUGCACUGACUUAAUUGGGUUUUAUUCUAUUUGAUCUUGGAUAAAGAGGAUUUUUUGAGAGUCCAUUUUCUCCUUCUUAAGUGUUCCUGUGGAAAAAAA